rnacentral:rRNA from 1 species
CACGUAGGGCGCGAGCGUUGUCCGGAAUUAUUGGGCGUAAAGAGCUCGUAGGCGGUUUGUCGCGUCUGCUGUGAAAACCUGGGGCUCAACUCUGGGCGUGCGGUCGAUACGGGCAUCACUUGAGUUCGGCAGGGGAGACUGGAACUCCUGGUGUAGCGGUGAAAUGCGCAGAUAUCAGGAGGAACACCGGUGGCGGAGGCGGGUCUCUGGGCCGAUACUGACGCUGAGGAGCGAAAGCAUGGGGAGCGAACAGG